AACGAACGCUGGCGGCAGGCCUAACACAUGCAAGUCGAGCGCGCCCUUCGGGGUGAGCGGCGGACGGGUGAGUAACGCGUGGGAACGUGCCCUUUUCUACGGAAUAGCCUCGGGAAACUGAGAGUAAUACCGUAUACGCCCUUUGGGGGAAAGAUUUAUCGGAAAAGGAUCGGCCCGCGUUGGAUUAGGUAGUUGGUGGGGUAAUGGCCUACCAAGCCGACGAUGCAUAGCUGGUUUGAGAGGAUGAUCAGCCACACUGGGACUGAGACACGGCCCAGACUCCUACGGGAGGCAGCAGUGGGGAAUCUUAGACAAUGGGGGCAACCCUGAUCUAGCCAUGCCGCGUGAGUGAUGAAGGCCUUAGGGUUGUAAAGCUCUUUCAGCUGGGAAGAUAAUGACGGUACCAGCAGAAGAAGCCCCGGCUAACUCCGUG
rnacentral:rRNA from 1 species